CUCUGGUAACUAUGGAGCUAGUCCUCAAGGUGGAAUUUUACUCUCAUGAUAAAGACAGUCUCUUCCCCCUUCUUUUCCAUCUUCCUCCCAUUCCCAUGAGUCCUCCACACAGGUUUGUUCCUUUAAAGGUUUAUUUCUGGCAAAUAAAAAAAAAUAACUUAUGUGGUUAGAUAAAUUAAUGUAUGUGAUUAGAUACGACACAGGGCAGAGCUGAACGUUCCUGUUUUCUUCUGGAUCUUGAAGGUUGGUGAGAGGCCGCUGAAUGAGACCCAGCCUCGUGUUUUGUGGGAUGAAGAGAUGCAGACAAAGUGACUCAGGUACACUGAUGCUCCCUGGAGGGCUGGGAGGUGGGCUCAGAGGAAGAGGGCGAGCCAAGAGUGUGCCAGCUUUUCCCCAACAGGCUAGGGCUCCAGCAGCUCCCCUCCUCUUCAGAACUGGUGCCCACACACUGUCAGUGUCCUACACAUACUCUCACUUGCUUUUCCUUUACAGCGUCUUUUCUCUAACUUUACUGGUCUGAAAAAAAAAAAUUCUAAUACGUGCAGCACUUAUAAGUAACUUAUAAAUAUGGGAAGCUGUCAGAAGUUUAUGUAUUUUAAAACCAUGACAUGGGCUAGAGUCUGGUGAAACAAGAUCGGGCAAGGUCGAAAGGUGACAUCUUCGGAGGACCAAAGCACCAACUUUCCCCCGUCAGUGGAACUUUGAAACUAUAGUGUGGAUGGAGUCCAAGACAUGA
rnacentral:lncRNA from 1 species